AUGAAUGCUGGCGGCGUGGAUAAGGCAUGCAAGUCAAGGGGACCGCAAGGUAACCGGCAGACGAGGUAGUAAUACGCAGGUACUCACCGAGAAGCCAGGUAUAGCUCGUCGAAAGACGGGGUAAUCCCUGAUAGUCUCGCGAGAGUAAAGGAGUAAUCCGCUUUUUGAACGGCCUGUGCCGCAUCAGGUAGUUGGUAGGGUAAUGGCCUACCAAGCCUAUGACGCGUAGGGGAGCUGAGAGGCUGACCCUCACCGAUGGGACUGAGACACGGCCCAUACAUCUACGGAUGGCUGCAGUCGAGAAUCUUCCGCAAUGGGCGAAAGCCUGACGGAGCGACGCCGCGUGAUUGAUGAAGUCCUUCGGGACGUAAAGAUCUUUUAUGCGCGAGAAAGUUAUUGAUAGUAGCGCAUGAAUAAGGGGCUCCUAACUCUGU
rnacentral:rRNA from 1 species